ensembl:snoRNA SNORD83 Small nucleolar RNA SNORD83
GCCACAUGAUGUUCUGAUCUGAGACGUGAGCGCUCUGCGCAGUGCUGACCCUGAUCUAUCACCCUGGACUGAUGGCU